rnacentral:tRNA from 1 species
GCCGACGUAGCUCAGGGGUAGAGCAGCUGAUUCGUAAUCAGCAGGUCAUGGGUUCAAUUCCCAUCAUCGGCUCCA